ACGGAGGGAGCUAGCGUUGUUCGGAAUUACUGGGCGUAAAGCGUACGUAGGCGGUUAUUCAAGUCAGAGGUGAAAGCCCGGGGCUCAACCCCGGAACUGCCUUUGAAACUAGAUAGCUAGAAUCUUGGAGAGGUCAGUGGAAUUCCGAGUGUAGAGGUGAAAUUCGUAGAUAUUCGGAAGAACACCAGUGGCGAAGGCGACUGACUGGACAAGUAUUGACGCUGAGGUACGAAAGCGUGGGGAGCAAACAGGAUUAGAUACCCUGGUAGUCCACGCCGUAAACGAUGAUAACUAGUUGUUCGGGCACUUGGUGCCUGAGUGACGCAGCUAACGCAUUAAGUUAUCCGCCUGGGGAGUACGGUCGCAAGAUUA
rnacentral:rRNA from 1 species